GAUGAACGCUGGCGGCGUGCCUAAUACAUGCAAGUCGAGCGAACAGACGAGGAGCUUGCUCCUCUGACGUUAGCGGCGGACGGGUGAGUAACACGUGGAUAACCUACCUAUAAUACUGGGAUAACUUCGGGAAACCGGAGCUAAUACCGGAUAACAUGUUGAAACGCAUGGUUCAACAGUGAAAGACGGUUUUGCUGUCACUUAUAGAUGGAUCCGCGUCGCAUUAGCUAGUUGGUAAGGUAACGGCUUACCAAGGCAACGAUGCGUAGCCGACCUGAGAGGGUGAUCGGCCACACUGGAACUGAGACACGGUCCAGACUCCUACGGGAGGCAGCAGUAGGGAAUCUUCCGCAAUGGGCGAAAGCCUGACGGAGCAACGCCGCGUGAGUGAAGAAGGUCUUCGGAUCGUAAAACUCUGUUAUUAGGGAAGAACAAAUGUGUAAGUAACUAUGCACGUCUUGACGGUACCUAAUCAGAAAGCCACGGCUAACUACGUG
rnacentral:rRNA from 1 species